rnacentral:rRNA from 1 species
AAAGAAACCAACAGGGAUUGCCUCAGUAACGGCGAGUGAAGCGGCAAGAGCUCAAAUUUGAAAGCUGGCCCCUUCGGGGUCCGCGUUGUAAUUUGCAGAGGAUGCUUCGGGUGCAGCCCCCGUCUAAGUGCCCUGGAACGGGCCGUCAUAGAGGGUGAGAAUCCCGUCUGGGACGGGGUGUCUGCGUCCGUGUGAAGCUCCUUCGACGAGUCGAGUUGUUUGGGAAUGCAGCUCUAAAUGGGUGGUAAAUUUCAUCUAAAGCUAAAUACUGGCCGGAGACCGAUAGCGCACAAGUAGAGUGAUCGAAAGAUGAAAAGCACUUUGAAAAGAGAGUUAAACAGCACGUGAAAUUGUUGAAAGGGAAGCGUUUGCGACCAGACUCGCCCGCGGGGUUCAGCCGGCACUCGUGCCGGUGUACUUCCCCGUGGGCGGGCCAGCGUCGGUUUGGGCGGCCGGUCAAAGGCCCUCGGAAUGUAUCACCUCUCGGGGUGUCUUAUAGCCGAGGGUGCAAUGCGGCCUGCCCGGACCGAGGAACGCGCUUCGGCUCGGACGCUGGCGUAAUGGUCGUAAAUGAC